AACGAACGCUGGCGGCAUGCCUAACACAUGCAAGUCGAACGACACCUUCGGGUAUAGUUGCGCACGCGGGCGUAACGCGUCGGAACCUGCCCUUAGGUUCGGAAUAACUCCCCGAAAGGGGUGCUAACACCGGAAAACGUCUUCGCACCAAGGAUUUAUCGCCCUUGGAUGGGCGCGCGUUGGACUAGCUAGUCGGUAGGGAAAAAGCCUACCAAGGCGACGAUCCAUAGCUGGUCAGAGAGCAUGAUCAGCCACGCUGGGGCUGAGACACGGUCCAGACUACUACGGGAGGCAGCAGUGGGGGAUAUAGGACCAUCGGGGAAAGCCUGAACGAGCGAUGCCGGGAGAGUGAUGAUGGCGUUAAAGUUGUAAAGCACUUUUACCCGGGGUGAUGAUGACGGUACCGGGAGAAUAAGCUCCGGCUAACUCCGUG
rnacentral:rRNA from 1 species